UACGUAGGGGGCUAGCGUUGUCCGGAUUUAUUGGGCGUAAAGAGCUCGUAGGCGGUUUGUCGCGUCUGCCGUGAAAGUCCGGGGCUCAACUCCGGAUCUGCGGUGGGUACGGGCAGACUAGAGUGAUGUAGGGGAGACUGGAAUUCCUGGUGUAGCGGUGAAAUGCGCAGAUAUCAGGAGGAACACCGGUGGCGAAGGCGGGUCUCUGGGCCGAUACUGACGCUGAGGAGCGAAAGCGUGGGGAGCGAACAGG
rnacentral:rRNA from 1 species